GAAGGUGGCCUGUGAGGGUUGCUGGAGGUAUCAGAAGUGCGAAUGCUGACAUAAGUAACGAUAAAGCGGGUGAAAAGCCCGCUCGCCGGAAGACCAAGGGUUCCUGUCCAACGUUAAUCGGGGCAGGGUGAGUCGACCCCUAAGGCGAGGCCGAAAGGCGUAGUCGAUGGGAAACGGGUUAAUAUUCCCGUACUUGGUGUUACUGCGAAGGGGGGACGGAGAAGGCUAUGUUGGCCGGGCGACGGUUGUCCCGGUUUAAGCGUGUAGGUGUGUGUUCCAGGUAAAUCCGGUUCACUUUAACACUGAGGCGUGAUGACGAGGCACUACGGUGCUGAAGCAACAAAUGCCCUGCUUCCAGGAAAAGCCUCUAAGCAUCAGGUAACAUCAAAUCGUACCCCAAACCGACACAGGUGGUCAGGUAGAGAAUACCAAGGCGCUUGAGAGAACUCGGGUGAAGGAACUAGGCAAAAUGGUGCCGUAACUUCGGGAGAAGGCACGCUGACACGUAGGUGAAGUGAUUUACUCAUGGAGCUGAAGUCAGUCGAAGAUACCAGCUGGCUGCAACUGUUUAUUAAAAACACAGCACUGUGCAAACACGAAAGUGGACGUAUACGGUGUGACGCCUGCCCGGUGCCGGAAGGUUAAUUGAUGGGGUCAGCGCAAGCGAAGCUCCUGAUCGAAGCCCCGGUAAACGGCGGCCGUAACUAUAACGGUCCUAAGGUAGCGAAAUUCCUUGUCGGGUAAGUUCCGACCUGCACGAAUGGCGUAAUGAUGGCCAGGCUGUCUCCACCCGAGACUCAGUGAAAUUGAACUCGCUGUGAAGAUGCAGUGUACCCGCGGCAAGACGGAAAGACCCCGUGAACCUUUACUAUAGCUUGACACUGAACAUUGAGCCUUGAUGUGUAGGAUAGGUGGGAGGCUUUGAAGUGUGGACGCCAGUCUGCAUGGAGCCGGCCUUGAAAUACCACCCUUUAAUGUUUGAUGUUCUAACGUGGACCCGUGAUCCGGGUUGCGGACAGUGUCUGGUGGGUAGUUUGACUGGGGCGGUCUCCUCCUAAAGAGUAACGGAGGAGCACGAAGGUUGGCUAAUCCUGGUCGGACAUCAGGAGGUUAGUGCAAUGGCAUAAGCCAGCUUGACUGCGAGCGUGACGGCGCGAGCAGGUGCGAAAGCAGGUCAUAGUGAUCCGGUGGUUCUGAAUGGAAGGGCCAUCGCUCAACGGAUAAAAGGUACUCCGGGGAUAACAGGCUGAUACCGCCCAAGAGUUCAUAUCGACGGCGGUGUUUGGCACCUCGAUGUCGGCUCAUCACAUCCUGGGGCUGAAGUAGGUCCCAAGGGUAUGGCUGUUCGCCAUUUAAAGUGGUACGCGAGCUGGGUUUAGAACGUCGUGAGACAGUUCGGUCCCUAUCUGCCGUGGGCGCUGGAGAACUGAGGGGGGCUGCUCCUAGUACGAGAGGACCGGAGUGGACGCAUCACUGGUGUUCGGGUUGUCAUGCCAAUGGCACUGCCCGGUAGCUAAAUGCGGAAGAGAUAAGUGCUGAAAGCAUCUAAGCACGAAACUUGCCCCGAGAUGAGUUCUCCCUGAGACUUUAGGUCUCCUGAAGGAACGUUGAAGACGACGACGUUGAUAGGCCGGGUGUGUAAGCGCAGCGAUGCGUUGAGCUAACCGGUACUAAUGAACCGUGAGGCUUAACCUUACAACGCCGAAG
rnacentral:rRNA from 1 species